UUUGGAGUACAAGUGAGAUUAUUCUCAUUAUCCAAAAGACAUUGUGUACUCCUUAUUUUUCCCCACAGGGUUUUUGAGGAGAUGAUAUAUUGAAAGACGGCUUGCAGAUGAUCAAAUGUACUUGAAUUGAUUAAGGGGGAGUGUUACAAUAGUUGUGAUCAAUCCCCUCCAUGGGGUGCGACACGUUCUCACUAAGGGCUAGUUUGGAAACUCAGAUCUCUUUCGGGAUUGAAGGGGAUUGGAGAGGAAAUUAGUUCAUUUCUACCUUAAUCCCCUCCAAUCCCGAAGGGGAUUUGAGGUUCCCAAAGUAGCCCUAAGGGACACACCACUUGGAGAGACACUGAUUCGCUUGUAUAUAAGCAUUGUCUUCCCUGUAAUAAAGUGAUUGUCUCUGUCAUUUUGUCUGUCUCCCUCUCCACUGAGCAAUAGACUGCAACAGAGAGCAAUGCAAGUUGGAACUGCGGAGCAUGCGGCGUCACGAAGAGGAAGAGGAAGAGCAUAUGUUGGUGCCUUGGUGGCGCACACGGCUUCACGAGCAGCGGAUGCGGCGCGGCGACACGAAACCUCCAAUUCGCCAAGCGGGCCAUCUCCACGGGGAGGAAGAGGGCAAUGCCUUGGAACCGCGGAGCAUGCGGCGUCACAGGGAAGAAGAGCAGAUGUUGGAUGGCGCACUCGGCUUCACGGGCGGAACACGGCGGUGUGUGGACCAGCCAACCUCGCGCGGGCACCGAGCAAUAGGGAGCGGGCACCGCUACCGCUGGCUGGACAAGGAAGAAGAGAGCGAAUCUGGGGGCGGUUGUAGCGGCCACAACGUGUGGAGGGAGA
rnacentral:misc_RNA from 1 species